UGUUUCUGAACGUCAUGGAGAACAUGUUGAUGUUUGUUAAAAUGAGCUGAAGAGCAUCCAGAAGGUUCUCCUGACAGAUGAUGGAGAAUACUUGGAGAGUCAGAGUGAGGAUGAGGAGCAGAGGAGCAGCAGACUGGUUUUCCUGAACCUCACAUUGACCUUGAUGAGGUCAAUGAAUUAUGAUGAGCUGGCUGACUGUCUGCAGAGCAGAACUCGUGCUGAAGUUUGUCCUCGUAAAUACAAAUCUAACAUGAAGCAGAAGUUUGAACGUGUGUUUGAGGGGAUCUCUAAAGCAGGAAAGACGACUCUUCUGAAGGAGAUCUACACAGAGCUCUACAUCACAGAGGGCGGGGCUUCAGAGGUCAACAAGGAACAUGAGG